ACAGGAUUAGAUACCCUGGUAGUCCACGCCGUAAACGGUGGGUACUAGUUGUGGGUUUCCUUCCUUGGGAUCCGUGCCGUAGCUAACGCAUUAAGUACCCCGCCUGGGGAGUACGGCCGCAAGGCUAAAACUCAAAGAAAUUGACGGGGGCCCGCACAAGCGGCGGAGCAUGUGGAUUAAUUCGAUGCAACGCGAAGAACCUUACCUGGGUUUGACAUGCACAGGACGUGCCUAGAGAUAGGUAUUCCCUUGUGGUCUGUGUGCAGGUGGUGCAUGGCUGUCGUCAGCUCGUGUCGUGAGAUGUUGGGUUAAGUCCCGCAACGAGCGCAACCCUUGUCUCAUGUUGCCAGCGGGUAAUGCCGGGGACUCGUGAGAGACUGCCGGGGUCAACUCGGAGGAAGGUGGGGAUGACGUCAAGUCAUCAUGCCCCUUAUGUCCAGGGCUUCACACAUGCUACAAUGGCCGGUACAAAGGGCUGCGAAGCCGUGAGGUGGAGCGAAUCCUUAAAGCCGGUCACAGUUCGGAUCGGGGUCUGCAACUCGACCCCGUGAAGUCGGAGUCGCUAGUAAUCGCGGAUCAGCAACGCUGCGGUGAAUACGUUCCCGGGCCUUGUACACACCGCCCGUCACGUCAUGAAAGUCGGUAACACCCGAAGCCGGUGGCCUAACCGUAAGG
rnacentral:rRNA from 1 species